UGGGGAAUAUUGCACAAUGGGCGCAAGCCUGAUGCAGCCAUGCCGCGUGUAUGAAGAAGGCCUUCGGGUUGUAAAGUACUUUCAGCGGGGAGGAAGGCGAUAAGGUUAAUAACCUUGUCGAUUGACGUUACCCGCAGAAGAAGCACCGGCUAACUCCGUGCCAGCAGCCGCGGUAAUACGGAGGGUGCAGGCGUUAAUCGGAAUUACUGGGCGUAAAGCGCACGCAGGCGGUCUGUCAAGUCGGAUGUGAAAUCCCCGGGCUCAACCUGGGAACUGCAUUCGAAACUGGCAGGCUAGAGUCUUGUAGAGGGGGGUAGAAUUCCAGGUGUAGCGGUGAAAUGCGUAGAGAUCUGGAGGAAUACCGGUGGCGAAGGCGGCCCCCUGGACAAAGACUGACGCUCAGGUGCGAAAGCGUGGGGAGCAAACA
rnacentral:rRNA from 1 species